CGAGAGCAAGCGGACCUCAUAAAGUGCGUCGUAGUCCGGAUUGGAGUCUGCAACUCGACUCCAUGAAGUCGGAAUCGCUAGUAAUCGUGGAUCAGAAUGCCACGGUGAAUACGUUCCCGGGCCUUGUACACACCGCCCGUCACACCAUGGGAGUGGGUUGCAAAAGAAGUAGGUAGCUUAACCUUCGGGAGGGCGCUUACCACUUUGUGAUUCAUGACUGGGGUGAAGUCGUAACAAGGUAACCGUAGGGGAACCUGCGGUUGGA
rnacentral:rRNA from 1 species